rnacentral:tRNA from 1 species
GGAGAGAUGGCUGAGUGGUCGAAAGCGGCAGAUUGCUAAUCUGUUGUACAAUUUCUUUUGUACCGAGGGUUCGAAUCCCUUUCUCUCCU